rnacentral:tRNA from 1 species
CCCGAGAGUUUAGUGGAUAGAAUCUCCAUUUGUCGCGCGGAGGACCGGGGUUCAAUUCUCCGUCUCGGAG